AUGUCUUGGUAUCCAGCGGUCAGGUAUUAGUCAUGUCUUGGUAUCCAGGGGUCAGGUAUUAGUCAUGUCUUGGUAUCCAGGGGUCAGGUAUUAGUCAUGUCUUGGUAUCCAGGGGUCAGGUAUUAGUCAUGUCUUGGUAUCCAGGGGUCAGGUAUUAGUCAUGUCUUGGUAUCCAGGGGUCAGGUGUUAGUCAUGUCUUGGUAUCCAGGGGUCAGGUAUUAGUCAUGUCUUGGUAUCCAGGGGUCAGGUAUUAGUCAUGUCUUGGUAUCCAGGGGUCAGGUGUUAGUCAUGUCUUGGUAUCCAGGGGUCAGGUAUUAGUCAUGUCUUGGUAUCCAGGGGUCAGGUAUUAGUCAUGUCUUGGUAUCCAGGGGUCAGGUGUUAGUCAUGUCUUGGUAUCCAGGGGUCAGGUAUUAGUCAUGUCUUGGUAUCCAGGGGUCAGGUAUUAGUCAUGUCUUGGUAUCCAGGGGUCAGGUAUUAGUCAUGUGUUGGUAUCCAGGCGUCAGGUAUUAGUCAUGUCUUGGUAUCCAGGGGUCAGGUUCCAACAACUCUAUAUCUUGGUAUCCAGGGGUCAGGUAUUAGUCAUGUCUUGGUAUCCAGGCGUCAGGUAUUAGUCAUGUCUUGGUAUCCAGGCGUCAGGUAUUAGUCAUGUCUUGGUAUCCAGGGGUCAGGUAUUAGUCAUGU